AGUGAACGCUGGCGGUAGGCCUAACACAUGCAAGUCGAACGGCAGCACAGUAAGAGCUUGCUCUUACGGGUGGCGAGUGGCGGACGGGUGAGGAAUACAUCGGAAUCUACUUUUUCGUGGGGGAUAACGUAGGGAAACUUACGCUAAUACCGCAUACGACCUACGGGUGAAAGCAGGGGAUCUUCGGACCUUGCGCGAUUGAAUGAGCCGAUGUCGGAUUAGCUAGUUGGCGGGGUAAAGGCCCACCAAGGCGACGAUCCGUAGCUGGUCUGAGAGGAUGAUCAGCCACACUGGAACUGAGACACGGUCCAGAAUCCUACGGGAGGCAGCAGUGGGGAAUAUUGGACAAUGGGCGCAAGCCUGAUCCAGCAAUACCGCGUGGGUGAAGAAGGCCUUCGGGCUGUAAAGCCCUUUUGUUGGGAAAGAAAAGCAGCAGGUUAAUACCCCGCUGUUCUGACGGUACCCAAAGGAUAAGCACCGGCUAACUUCGUG
rnacentral:rRNA from 1 species